GAUCAUGGCUCAGAACGAACGCUGGCGGCAGGCCUAACACAUGCAAGUCGAGCGCUCACUUCGGUGGGAGCGGCGGACGGGUUAGUAACGCGUGGGAAUAUACCCUUCUCUACGGAAUAGCCUCGGGAAACUGAGAGUAAUACCGUAUACGCCCUUCGGGGGAAAGAUUUAUCGGAGAAGGAUUAGCCCGCGUUGGAUUAGGUAGUUGGUGGGGUAAUGGCCCACCAAGCCGACGAUCCAUAGCUGGUUUGAGAGGAUGAUCAGCAACACUGGGACUGAGACACGGCCCAGACUCCUACGGGAGGCAGCAGUGGGGAAUCUUAGACAAUGGGGGAAACCCUGAUCUAGCCACGCCGCGUGAGUGACGAAGGCCCUAGGGUCGUAAAGCUCUUUCGCCAGGGAAGAUAAUGACGGUACCUGGUAAAGAAACCCCGGCUAACUCCGUGCCAGCAGCCGCGGUAAUACGGAGGGGGUUAG
rnacentral:rRNA from 1 species